ensembl:lncRNA
UCCGAGUUUCAUUCAAUAUAUUCAGAAGUUUUUUUCCUACCGAGCCCCGGAAGGGACAUGUCGGUAUGGCGAAACGACAAUGGAGGACACCCACCCGUACGAGAGUUUUAUUGAGUUUUAUUUUGUAAUCAGCCUAAAAUACAAAGACAUUCAAGCAGUGCGAUGCAUGAGGACUCUGCCAUGCAGACCAGCGAUCCUGAUCCUGUUGUCGGCCUUGGAGGAUGAGGUCCAGCUACCAGGACAGUUACUCUGCAGCUCACUGGUCCCAUCCUGCAGCUCAUCCAUGCCGUCCUCCUCUCAACAGACCAAAUCAAGAAAAACUAAGCGGGAUGCUACUGUGGAUCUGCUCUUCAGAUUAGCUCUGCUGUGAUUAACAAUCUGCCUUCAUCGCAGUCACAGCCAACGGGGAAGAUGGUCUUAAGGUUAAUUGCGAGGCAGAGGUCAGCUGUUGCCUGGAUAUCCGGGAUCACGCCACUGGUGGGACACAAUUGUACUGGAUUUCCAUAGAGGACAGGGACAAAG